GGGCUAAACCAUGCACCGAAGCUGCGGCAGCGAACGUAUCACCCAAGACAACUUUACGGAGUUGACGAUUGACGGAGCGAAGCGACGUCAAAGCGUUCAUUAAAGUCGAGUUGGCUUAGGGAUACGUUCGUUGGGUAGGGGAGCGUUCUGUAAGCCUGUGAAGGUGUGUCGUGAGGCAUGCUGGAGGUAUCAGAAGUGCGAAUGCUGACAUAAGUAACGAUAAAGCGGGUGAAAAGCCCGCUCGCCGGAAGACCAAGGGUUCCUGUCCAACGUUAAUCGGGGCAGGGUGAGUCGACCCCUAAGGCGAGGCCGAAAGGCGUAGUCGAUGGGAAACGGGUUAAUAUUCCCGUACUUGGUGUUACUGCGAAGGGGGGACGGAGAAGGCUAUGUUGGCCGGGCGACGGUUGUCCCGGUUUAAGCGUGUAGGUGUGUGUUCCAGGUAAAUCCGGUUCACUUUAACACUGAGGCGUGACGACGAGGCACUACGGUGCUGAAGCAACAAAUGCCCUGCUUCCAGGAAAAGCCUCUAAGCAUCAGGUAACAC
rnacentral:rRNA from 1 species